ensembl:lncRNA
UUCGAGAAAAAUUUGCAGUUCUGCGGAGUGGAAUGGGGUGGGAAGAGAAACCGUGGGGAGGCCGAGAAACAGGAAAUGAGAGCGAAGGAGCAAAUUGGAGCCAGGAAAAGCCAGCUUCUACAUCUGUGUGGCAGCGUGGCAUUUGCUGAGCACUUAAGGCCCAGGUGCGCAGUUAAUGAAAACAAAGGCGGGGCACCGGCUGGCCCAGCUCUGCCCUUGCCACGUUUUGGAAAGGAAGCAAAUGGGAAAGGUGGUCCAGCCAGGAGAGUACUGUCGUGGCCCUGUCCUGGUCAGGACAGGAUGAAUCAGCGGCCGGAAUCCUCUUCUCAGUGAAACAGGAUUGACGGAGACAGUGUGUCCCCGAGUUAAGGUUUCGAAGAAGAACAAAUGAGAUAAGUGUGAAACUGUCUGAAAUGUGUGCGGCACGCUCUUCCAGAGAAGUAGCUCUAAAUGAGACAACAGUGGGAGCAGGGAGGUGUGGAACUCAGGCCCCCAGGAAGGAAAUGGGACCCAGAGGCUGAAGGGUUCACUGAUAGAAUGGGGGGAGGCGGGGUGUCUCUGUUCCAAGAAUUGGCAGCCGCAAACCUCAACCUGAUCUGAUCUUGGGAAGAAACCCCUCUCCACUCCGGUGCACCCAGACAGAAAGAACGUUGCAAACUCAAGUUUGAAAUAUUGCAGAGUAUCAGCAAAUGUGCAUUAUUUAAAGGAAAAUCCUCCACUGGAAUCACUAAAAUUUCCCCGCAGGUGGGGCUAGGAUAGGCAGGGAGUGAAUUUAACUAAGGAUGGGAGGAUGCUCUGAGAAAUUAUGUCAUCCUGGCAGUUCUUGUGCUAACAGCUUUCUCAGCUUGAGGGCCGAAGCGGAUCAUCAAUACAUGGUGAAUACUUCAAUGCGCGGGAAAACAAAAUGCCUCCUCCCUGUAGCAACAGCCAUGGGCGUGCUAGGCAAAUGAUGACGUUCGAAACUAAUCUGCAAGAAUUCAUUCCAGAGGGAGAAGGAAAUUAAGGGCAGGUCAAGGUUAAUAUCUAGAGUCUGAAUAAAGCAUGUGGUUGAAAAAGGGAAAUACAUCAAGUAUUAGGGCAAAGAAGUGCUAGCAGCAUUUUGAAAAAAAAAAACCGAAUACUUUUAAAUGGGGAUUAGAAAUGUUAAAAUAUGGCGACUCCCUUGCCAUAAAAGAAGUUGGUGAAAAGAAAAACACAGGUUUGGAAGGGAGAAUACUGCAAACCAGGGGAGGGAAUGGAAAAGUAAACACAAAGAAUUUUAAAGGGAUGAAUAUUAGUGAGAUUUACACGUCUGCAGUGUACAUGAUGUGUGUGUGAGUGAUAUGUGUGCGUGGGAGUGUGUGUGCAUGUCAUGUGUGUGUUUUGUGGGUGCGAGUGUGUCGUAUGUAUGUGCAUGUUGGGGGCUGGGGGCGCUAGCAUUUGUUUCUACUGGAGUUUAUCAUUCUGGCUCUGAACCAAAGUUAAACUGUGGAGAGAAGGAAGUAAGGCAAGGAAAGAUGGCCUCCCUUAGAAGAAUGAGUGUAGUUUUUUGCUGUUUAGACUUUUCUACUCCACUCCAUGUGUGUUCGGGGAUAACGGAAAAUCAGAUCGAGUAAAAAGAGGAAAGUUAUUUUUAUCGGGCAUGUAGAGUUCUAAUAAUGUAAAAGAAUAAUAAGAGAGGAAUUACUGAAUCUUAGAACUUCAGGACUGAAAGUAUUUAUGAAAUUUUAUUCAUAUUUCAAUACUAUUUAAACAUAAAUGCCUUGGGACACGGAUGUGGUUCCUGCUUACUUCUUAGUUGGACUUUAACCUGAAGAAAAACAAAUUGUCUAAAAGGAUAAAAGGUGUUAUUUUGGUCUACACAUGGCAUACACACUGAAUUAAUUUUACAUAGCAUAAUGUCCAGAAAAGAAGAGGAAGCAGAUAAUGUGACUCAAUUCCAGCUACACAGCAAAACUAGCAAGUGUUUUAUUUAAUAAUUCGAAAGCACGUUCCAACUCACAAGCCCUGCCCCCCCUUUCAGAUUUCAUACUUAACUAGUGGUAAUUUAAUGAAAAAUUAAUAUCACUGUGAGAAAUCUUUUAUGCUAUAAAAAAAGGUUUAAAUGUGCACCACACCCCAAUUCCUAUAUGGUAAAAAUUCUCUCCAAUGUGUAUUAAAAGUAGUUAAACCUUUGGAUUAAAGAGGGCAAAAUCGUAUGGGUGAUUUGACAUUAAUUCUGUGUGGAACUUGGGGAAUUGAGUCCAUUUCAGAAAUUAAGGCAUCAUAGAAAGAUUAGAAUGAACUGGAAGUGAAAAUAAAAUGAUUCGCCCAGCUCUAAAUAAAGUUUAAAACAAAAAACAAAAAACAAUGUACUCUUCCCCAGGGCUCAACACGCAGAAGAACAGAGAGAAAUUCGCUGCCUAUAUUUUUCACAUGUCAUAUUUUGGCACUAAUGUGCAGCAAAGGCGAAUUCUGUUUAAGCACGAGAAAGGCACGUUUAGAAUCUUCAGUACAAAUGGAAACAGCUGGUGAUAUUAUGUGACGCUGUACUAAACAGAAUGUUUUGAUUUGGAUGGUGAGCUGAGAAUUGGGAGGGAAACGCUAUUUGAUAAUUUUGUCACAGUCCCCACAGGUUUGGGGUUUUCUAGUUUCAAUAUCACAUAUUAGACACCCACGUUUCCAUGUCCCUCUCAAGCUUUCUUCAGACCCCUCAUCCUUUGUACCACUAACACCGGACCCUGUCUACCUUCCCAGCUCUGGACUUCUGUUUGAUCCAUCCUUCCCUUCCCUAGACAAAUCCUGGGUUAUGUUUAUAUACCUGUAUACACAAAGCCAAAUUGGAGUUGCCACAAUGGUUUCAGUGUACCACCUUAGCAUUAAAAACACUGUCUGGACUUGUCUUAUAGUCUCUCUUACAACCCAAGGAGUUUGGGCACCACCGUCCAGCCCAUUAGAGGCCAUUACCAAGUGGUUUUUUUCUUUUCUCCUAUUGAAUCCUCCCAACAAGGUUGCAUGACACCUCACAUAUAUGUGGGUAUAGCCAAUCUAGACAUCAAAAACAUUCUUUACUCCUCAGAACUUUUUGGGUGGGGGUAUAGUGCAAAGAUUAUCUCAUUCACUAGUGUGUAAGCCCCUCCCCAUGUCUGUCUGCCAUGUCUGUCUGUCUGUUUCUCUUUCUCUCUCUCCCUCUGUGUGUGUGUGUGUGUGUGUGUGCGCGCGCGCGUGCGUGCGCGCGCACGUGCACGCGCGUGUUUAGGGGAAACAGUUUUUCACUUCCUUAAGUUUGCAACCAAUGCGAGGCAUACUAGGUCAGACAGACACAAUAGCUGUUAAUUUCUUACUGUAUUCUGUUACAGGAGCAUGGCUGUUUCCACAAACUCUAGUGUUUUGUCACUAUCACAUAAAAUACAUUGAGAAUAAGACCCAUGACUUAACUCUCAACCACUAAUUUGACUUCGUUUUUACUCCUACACUGAUACGCAAAUAGUAAGUGAUUAAUGAAUGUUUGUGGAAUGGAAGAAAUUACAGCCAAUAAAAUUUUAAUUGUGUGCCUUAAAAUACAAUUUCACAGAAAGCUUCCAUUUCUGUUCAUGUGUGUACUAAAAGUAACAAGAACAACAAAGAAACUUCUGGACUGUGUUAGCAAGAACCUUUGAACAUUAAUCCUCACAGUGUUUUUCAGGGCCUUCCAAAUUUAAGCAGAGCCAUCUCUGUGACCAUGGGUUGGAGUUAUCCAUUAGAGUCUGAUGGGCUCAUUAGAGGGUACAAAACUGAAGACAUCUAGGCACUAUUUUAUUAGUCAAGAAUGGAGUCUCUCCCCACUUUGAAAACAACCAAUCUGACAAAUACAACCUGGGACACAUAUUUUCUCCAACCCCUUGAAAUGAUAAAAUGCAAAGCUAGGCUCCUACUGCUCCAGACGAAGCCGCUGUUCAUUUAAUACUUGGAAAACAUACACUCGUUUUUGUUUUCUGCUCUAAGUAUCAAAGUGUGGCUCUCUGUACAGCAAGGAGGAGGGAACACGAAGCUGAAGGCAGUCUCUUACCAACUGCUUCCUUUCACUAUUCAGAGAUGGAACAUGAAUAUUCAAAGCUAGAAUAAUGAAAUAGAAGUAAAUAACAGAGUUGGAGUCACAGGUCUUCUCCAGUCAUAACAAUCACAAAGUAGCAGGCAUGCUUGAAGGGCCUCUUGGGUGGAAUUGGAGAUUACCAGUGGUGUCUGUAUUUUGUAAUAUAAUUUACAUAAUGUUUUUGUCUUAAAUUAGAAACCAUUAUAUGAUUACAGUCCUCUACUGAAUUUUUGAUAGCAGACAAUAAAAAGGAAAAAAAAUUAAAAGUUAUUUCCCGUUACCAUUUUAAGGACAUUAAUUUAUACCUAUAUUUUAA